rnacentral:misc_RNA from 1 species
GUAGGUGAACCUGCGGAAGGAUCAUUAACACUAAUAAAAAAACUUUUUAUCCUUUUAUCACUUGAACCCCCGGAGUGGGACUGGAAGAAAGGAAAGGAAAAGAGGAGGGACUCAUCUCUUAACUGAGGAGGGACCCACUUCCUUUUCUGACUUUCGACUGGACUCACUCUGUCUGUUUUGUGAACAACCUGUGUAAAACUAUCUCUCUCUCAUUAUUAUUACAAAUAACAAACCCGGUUGGUGUCGCUGUUUGAGGCAACUCAAGUGGUGACAGUGACUGAGUUUUUUAUUUAUAAACCCGUUAAACCCAAAAAAAACCCAAACCACUUGUGUGUGUUUACUCACACCCAAGUAGUUUGUACCCACAAAAAAAAAACAAAAAAAAACAAAUAUAUAAAAAAAACAAACAUUAGAGUACAACUCUUAACAAUGGAUAUCUUGGUUCUC